rnacentral:tRNA from 1 species
AGAACCUUAAGUUAAUUAAACUAUUGGCCUUCAAAGUCAGAAAUAACCCAUGUUAGAUUCUA